AUGCACCUGUGUGGGCAUCCGCGAUUAAUUCACCUGACCACGGGACCUAUUCCGUGAGCCUCUUGAACCAUUCAUGGGAGCUUUUUUCCUCCGGAUUUAAUUAUUUCUGCUCCUUGCUAUUGAGCCGCCAUUGUUUUUUGGCCUUGUGACAACUGCUCUUUGCCUUCUGCGUGACUUGUUUUUACUUUGUUUUGUCUAUUAGUAGUGUUUGCGAAAACUUACUGUGCAUGGAUUUUCUCUAUACUCGCAAAUUCAACCAUAUACAGAAUUUUUUUUUUUCACGCAGAUCUCAUGUGAUUGACUAUUGAUCUUUAACGUGUGAACUUGAAAUGGAAAGCUACGAUAUACCUUCGGAGGAAAAUGAAGCAGAAAUGGAUACUGUGAAAUUUAAAGCAACUUUUUUUUCCGAGUUACGCAGUUUUCCUAUUUAAAAUCUCUAUUGUGCGUACUGAGCUGGAGUAUUUUUUUUCACAUUACUCUAUAAUCAAAGUCACUGGAUAUAUUUUAUCAGCUAAUGAGCCCAUUUUUUUAAAGGAAAUAUUUACGAAGUUACGAAAGGAAAUAUGUUCUAAACCAAACUGAAGAAAUAGUGCUUAUGCAUAUUAUAGUUUCAAUCGGUGCACUAACGUGCUUCCUAUUUUUUGAAGAUUUUCCUGGUGACAAAUUUCAAAGUGUUCUUUGUAUGAUAUUAAAUGAAUCCAAGUGUGAUAAAUAAGAAACGACUAAUUUUCUCUCAUUCGAAUGUUAAACUGGGAGACGUAAUAUCAGUUUUCAUGUUAUGUUAGAAUAGUUAACGUUGCUUUAUUUUUAUCUAACGGUUUUUCCCUCUCCGGAGCGAAAUAUCUAUCUCUAGCAGAGAACGAGCCACCAGCAUUAUCAGCUGCCGAAACGAAUGUGAACUCUGGUGACAUUUACCCUGCAGAACGGCGUGAAGCAGAUACCUUCGUAACUUUUUCCCCCUCUCUUCAACCUUUGUCUACGCACGUAACGUUUGUCAGUGUACCUGUGGCGAAGCAGUGGAAGUGAACUGCGUAAAAGUCCUCUCGCUUUAGCUUUUGUCGCCGCCAACCUUAUUUGACCUCAGCUUUGCCUGCUCGUGGUCAAAGUACGCAACCGCGCUCGUUGCAUCACGACCUUUUUACCGUCGCUUUUAACGAAGCAUGAGGUAGCAUUUUACCCCGACGUUCCACGUUUGUGUUUUGUGACUCUUUUCUGUGAUACUCUACACGACAGACAAGGAUCUACUCCACUCAUUACUGUUGUUUUUAAGAUAUGGAUUACUAUUCUUACCCGUGGUUUCAAAUGGAUUAACUCUCCUCCAUGUGUUUAGGGUGACUUUUACGGAUAACGCAGAUUUAAUAUCCUCCAACUUAUCAAAGGCUGUUUGGGCACAGUUGCUGGGCCAGUUGUCCGUAACGAAUAUGGUGUUUCUCAUACUGCCAUGACAUCCGUUACAGAUGGUCCGGUUAUUUCAUCCACUCUAGAUGGUAGCUGUGAAUCUGGGAGCCCUGAAUCUUCUGUCCCUCAGAGUGAAUAUCCAGAAAGUCCCCAAUGUUCUCCUCAAAAUCAAAACCAAACCUGUGAUAUUAAAGCUGAUAGUGAGCCCGGUGAUGUUGGAAUCAAAGAGGAACCCGCCAGUC
rnacentral:lncRNA from 1 species